UACGGGGGGAGCAAGCGUUGUUCGGAUUUACUGGGCGUAAAGGGCGCGUAGGCGGCGCAACAAGUCACUUGUGAAAUCUCCGGGCUUAACCCGGAGCGGUCAAGUGAUACUGUCGUGCUAGAGUGCGGAAGGGGCUACUGGAAUUCUCGGUGUAGCGGUGAAAUGCGUAGAUAUCGAGAGGAACACCUGCGGCGAAGGCGGCUCUCUGGGACGGUACUGGACGCUGAGACGGCGAAAGCGUGGGGAGCGAAACAGG
rnacentral:rRNA from 1 species